UACGUAGGUGGCAAGCGUUGUCCGGAUUUACUGGGCGUAAAGAGCGCGCAGGCGGUCGUUCAAGUCGCGUGUGAAAGCCCCCGGCUCAACUGGGGAGGGUCACGCGAUACUGAUCGACUCGAAGGCAGGAGAGGGAUGCAGAAUUCCAGGUGUAGCGGUGAAAUGCGUAGAUAUCAGGAGGAACACCGAUGGCGAAGGCAGGUCUCUGGGCAUUAACUGACGCUGAGGAGCGAAAGCAUGGGGGAGCGAACAGG
rnacentral:rRNA from 1 species